CGGCGGACGGGUGAGUAACGCGUGGGUAACCGUGCCUCAUACAGGGGGAUAACAGUUGGAAACGGCUGCUAAUACCGCAUAAGCGCACAGUACCGCAUGGUACGGUGUGAAAAACUCCGGUGGUAUGAGAUGGACCCGCGUCUGAUUAGGUAGUUGGUGGGGUAACGGCCUACCAAGCCGACGAUCAGUAGCCGACCUGAGAGGGUGACCGGCCACAUUGGGACUGAGACACGGCCCAG
rnacentral:rRNA from 1 species